rnacentral:tRNA from 1 species
GGCCUCAUCGUUUAAUGGCUAGGACAACCCCCUCUCACGGGGUAAAUGGGGGUUCGAUUCCCCCUGGGGCUACCA